CACUUGCAAUGCCUUUAGCGUUCAUUAAUCCUGGAUCCCACCUGUGGCAGCUUCACAAUGGUCCUGCUGAAUCUGAGGACUGUCACACUCACCUGGCAGAAGAUGAAGAGGAGCUCUGGUGUCCCUCUGAAGUCACCUUAGAGAACCUGGACUGCAGCUAUCCAGGCCAGUCUUCCAUGGGCACAACUUGCUGUGUAUCUCUUCACAUCUGGUGAACGAUCUACAGAAAAUGACACUCAUACAGGAGCCUCGGGGCUGCACCGUAGCCAGCAGGAUGAGAGAGGCCUGAGAGUGGAGGAGACAUGAAAGCUUUAUGGUAUUUAUACGAAUGCUGGCAGAUUGUGCCAGAGCUACUGUUCCCCCUGGGUAUUGUUUCAUCCUGAGGCAGCACACUUCUUCACCAGUCUGACUGUCCUCUGCCUCAGCUGCCAGUGGCUUCCACACCUUCAGUGGAUGCUCUCUUUAGGUAUUGCUCAGGGCGUGCUGGCACAUCCCAUGAGACCAAUGCCUCUUCCUACAUUCAAGGUUGCACAGAGAGAGGGAGAAUGAAAACACAAGUUAAACUUCUUUUUGCUUUCUGACUUUUCACUGUGUUCCCUUUUCCAGAAAGAAAGCCCUCCUCUCUUUCUUUCAAGGAUCAGAUGUCUCGAAAAUUCAGUGCCCCAAUAACUGGAGUAAAUUUCAUCUCGUUGUAUAGCUGCGUUGGAAAGGAAGAGGACACAACCAGAAAAAAGGGACUGAGCCACUAUGGACUCGGUGGUCGUGGGACAUCCCUCCAUGAAUGCAAAGGCCAGGUCAGAUGGACUGUGAAGGGUCUGCUACAAGUAUUUCAACCUGCCUGUUCAAAAGACAGCUGAGUUCAUCAUGAGUGGCCUUUGCACUUCUCAACCCUGAUCUUAGGUGAAAUGAGAGCACCAAAUUAACUCAAGAGUGUUGUGCUUCUGCAGGACAGGGCAGAGUCCCAGCAGAAGCCUCAUCUCAUGACACUACAAAAGUGCCUGGUGCAACAGUAUUGCCGAGUGAGCAUCCCCACCUACCACAUACUGCCAGCCUCUGGGGCAGUACAGACUCAAUUGCAUCACAUCAAGGUCAAGGACAUGAAAUACGUGCCCAUACACCAGACCCAGCAGGCUAUGGGGUCCCAACUGUGUUCCCUGAGACCACAGUAGUGAGAAUCCUCCAUGAGCUAUUUCUUCCUGAUGUAAAGUGGGGCUGGCUGCCUCUAGCCAGCUGACUGGCAGCUGAGAGGCUCUUAAUGAGCAUCUCUUCCCCCUUGGCAGUGCUCACUGAAGGAGACCUCAGCUGGGAAGGAGAGCUGCCGUAUCGGGCUGAAUUACCCUGAAUUAUUCUUUGCGCGUCUAGAAAGACAUAGCUGCUAUUUAGAAAAGCUCAUAAACCAACAAUGCAUCCAGCAUAUAAAAGGCAAAUUAAAAAAAAAAAAAGCGCACAGCAUGAACCUAUAUUUUAAAAUAAAUUUCAUUUAUCCCAAUUGCCCCUUUUCUGA
rnacentral:lncRNA from 1 species